rnacentral:tRNA from 1 species
UCCGGGGUCGUCUAAUGGCAGGACACCAGAUUUUGAUUCUGGUUAUCGUGGUUCGACUCCACGCCCCGGAA